rnacentral:rRNA from 1 species
GUGGGGAAUAUUGGGCAAUGGGGGCAACCCUGACCCAGCGACGCCGCGUGAGGGAAGAAGGCCUUAGGGUCGUAAACCUCUGUUGUGUGGGAAGAAGGAAGUGACGGUACCACACGAGGAAGUCCCGGCUAACUACGUGCCAGCAGCCGCGGUAAGACAGAGGGUGCAAGCGUUGUCCGGAUUGACUGGGUGUAAAGGGCGUGUAGGCGGCCGAGUAAGUCUGACGUGAAAACAUCACCGCUCAACGGGAUGUACGCGUUGGAAACUGUUCGGCUUGAGUACAGGAGAGGUUAACGGAAUUCCAGGUGUAGCGGUGGAAUGUGUAGAUAUCUGGAGGAACACCGGUGGCGAAAGCGGUUAACUGGCCUGUGACUGACGCUGAGGCGCGAAAGCCAGGGGAGCAAACGGGAUUAGAAACCCUAGUAGUCC